AUCUAUCCACAGGUGGACCCGUGAGAUCUUUUCCAGAUCCCCCGCGACAGUCGCACUCGAGUUGCAUGGCCGCCUCAGAGCCUUCCUGCCGCGUGGCUCGUCUUCUCCGACGCCUGCCGCUCCGUUUUGUCUCUGGCCAGCGACCGAGUGGGUUCCCGCGCCCCCUUUCCCCAAUAGCAGCGGAAGCCCUCUGCACCCCUUUCUACAGAGCCUCGCCGCCCGCGCCCAUCAUCACGCCACCAGAUCCCGGCCCCAGAGCCCGAUGUCGCCCGUCUUUUCCGUCCCUUCGUCCACAGUUGCGCCGCCCGGUCGCCGCUACACGACGAUUCCUCCACCGCCAACCCCGACCGCGGCCGCGACAGUUCCUUUCCCCGCUCUGUUAGACGCCGCCCGACAAUUUGUUGUCUCGCGCUCUCCCCCGCGCCCGCGUCCGCCUGUCUCCUCACCCGAGCGCCCUCGAUUCUAGCGCCGUUAAGCCGGUCACUUCGAUCAAAUCUUCCGCACGACGACGCCUGCUUUCCGCCAAAUCUCAACCGCCAGUCUACCCGCCCCUACGCCGCCCUGACGGCAGAACGCAAUGAUCACUGGCGUCACCCCCGGAGUUCUGCGCCACCGCCCUCUCCGCUCAAUCGCCGCCACGGCAGAGCACUCCAUUGCCUCUCCCCGGCCUUCGCGCCACUCCCCUUCUCUCUCUUCGCGCCGUUUCCUUUCCUCUGCUCCAGCAGCUAAAAAAAAAGGAAUGCCCCCGUCGCCGGAGUUUCCUCCGCUCUUGUUGCCUUCAGCCUUCUCUAGCUUCCAGCGCCACCCACCCAGCUCUUGAGGAGUUCUUCUCUCAGUUCUCUCUCAGUUUUCUCCAAGUCACCCAGCAGCUUGCUCCUCCGUGCUGCGUAAAAGCUCUCUUGUGAUCCGCAAGAAGCAGCGCCGCCGCCGGAGCAUUGCCAGUCUUAGCCCUUGCUUGAAGCUUUAGCCCAUCCGCCCAAGUUCGCUUCGUUCCGACCCCAAGCCUUCCUUUCAGGAAGAAGGUGAGUUGCCGACCCCAGUCCGCCUCGCCCGACCCCUCAUAUCCGCCCGACCCCGGUUCCGUCUCGCCCGACCCUGUCUGUUCCGCCGACCCUUAUCCGCCUCGCCCGAGGGCUUGGCUGUGAUCUUUUUCUUCAACUCGAGGGUGUAUGUGUAAAACUUGGGAACCCUUCAACGCUUGCGUCUAAGGACCCCCAGUUAUCACAUCCUCUAGUUCAAGGGUCAGACCACUAGUUCCUUUCCUACCCUUACCUCUUGAUCAUCAUCAGCUCUUGAACCACCAUAACCUCCUGCUCCUUGUCGCGAGUUUCUGGGCUCAGGCGAGCCAGUGUUGCUGUUGAAAUAACCGUCUAUGCUAACCCUUGCAUUGCAUUCGUGUAGAGCUGCACCUCGCCGACGGCUUCUACGAGCUUCACCCGACGCCAGAAGAAGAAGCUGUAGCCGAGCUCCUGUCCUCCGAAGC
rnacentral:lncRNA from 1 species